CCCGCACAAGCGGUGGAGUAUGUGGUUUAAUUCGAUGCAACGCGAAAACCUUACCUGCCCUUGACAUCCUCGGAACUUGUCAGAGAUGACUUGGUGCCUUCGGGAACCGAGAGACAGGUGCUGCAUGGCUGUCGUCAGCUCGUGUCGUGAGAUGUUGGGUUAAGUCCCGCAACGAGCGCAACCCUUGUCAUUAGUUGCCAUCAUUUGGUUGGGCACUCUAAUGAGACUGCCGGUGACAAACCGGAGGAAGGUGGGGAUGACGUCAAGUCCUCAUGGCCCUUAUGGGUAGGGCUUCACACGUCAUACAAUGGUCGGUACAGAGGGUUGCCAACCCGCGAGGGGGAGCUAAUCCCACAAAGCCGAUCGUAGUCCGGAUCGCAGUCUGCAACUCGACUGCGUGAAGUCGGAAUCGCUAGUAAUCGUGGAUCAGCAUGUCGCGGUGAAUACGUUCCCGGGUCUU
rnacentral:rRNA from 1 species